AACCAACUGUCAGUAAGCGACCGUUAGUGGCCCAUUCAGCCAGCGGUCAGAGGAGUGGUGAUUGUCAGCCAGAGAGUGAGGAUUGCUUCAUGGUCAAAAGAUGGCUGUUGGAGAUCCAGUCUUCAUAUCUCAAACAGGAAGAAGAAGAAAGGGCCAAAUGCAAAUAAGUUUCUAGAUCCUUUGCGGGGUUUACUUCUCACUGACAUUUGAUCGUUAUAACUCUGUGAUCAGCAAAAACAUCCACUUCUACAGAGUUCUAUGGAAACAAAAUGGGACUGAAUAAUCUAUAAUAACUAGAAUUAAAUAGAAUUGGACCAAAAUGAUGUUAAACAUUGUUGAAGAGGAUAUGAGAAUACACAAUUGGAGAUAAAUUUGUGUUUAAUAUCCUGCAAACUGGGGCUCCUUAAUAAACCAAGUAUAAUUUGAGACACUGAGUAUCAACCUUUUAAAGACUCAAUUCUGAUGACCAGAUUGCCCUUACAGGUAGACUGGACUGUCCGCAGUUGCUUGAAUAUGCUCAAUUCACAUGAUGAUGUUCUUUCAGGCCUGGAGAGGAACAAUCUUGAUUCAUUGGCCAUCAGAGGCAAUGCUGCAAGGGAAAGAAGAGGGGGCUGUCAACAGAAGGAAUUGCAGCCUCAGUAAUGUGUGUGGAGGUGAGAGAGAGAGCAUGAUUGCCCCAAUGUCCUCUUGGGGGUGGUGAAAGUUUAUGAAGUGAGUGUGUAUGGAUAUCAGACCUUUUAAACCCACAUUUAUUGCCAAAUCCUUCCCUUCUGACUCUGAGUCACUGUUCCAACAACCUGCUUCUCAGAGCAACCUGGGAGUCCGAACUUACGAGGUCUAGGAUGUAACCCUAAUUCCUCUCACUUAAGGCAUAGCUGUCCAGAAUGAGGUAGGGGGAGAAAGUAAUGUCAUGACUGAUAAGAAACAGAGAAUUUGAAAGAUGUGCUAUUUGAAAACUAAAACCGACUUGAAUUCUAAUAUAGUCUUUGACUUAGAAACAAGAAGAGGAAGAUAGGCUGAGAGGGGAGGUUAGUUUUUAGCAACUGUUUUUUUAAAAACUGACAACAAGGGAAGAGAGACCAGAACCACAGACAAAUUUAACAUUUUGUACUUCAGUAUCAUUUGAUCUUUAAAAAACUCCCUAAUCUUAGAGGGGGUUGUCCCUGGAUAAGGGGUUCUGUUCUGAACUGAACAAACAUGGGUGAAGUAUAAGGUCCCUUCCCCAAAUCACUCCUCCUCAGUAUCCCAUGAUGCUGGAAAUCCCCGGGGUUAACUUUUCUUUCCUUUUGGCUACAAUUAGGAAGCUCCUUUAAUGCAUUUCACUACUGUGUCUCAGUUUACAGAUGAGCUCAUUGAGGCUGGGAGAAACUAAAUAAUUAGUGCAAAUUCACACAACUAGUAAACCACACAACCCAGGAUUAGAACCUGGAUUUGUUUGAUUCCAAACUCGAUCACACUGGUGGCUCCAGUAUACACGCUCUUAGGAUUGGGUGCUUCUCUGUCAGUUCUGUUAUGUGGUUCAGUAAAUAAGUAGCCAAGAGCUCAGAGUGUGAUGGGCUUUGGGGUCAGGAGAGUUUGGGUUAGAGUUUUGACUCAAUCACUGAUUGAUCAGCUGUGUGACUCUGGAAACUUAACCUCAGUCCACUCAGAAGGACACUAGGAUGUGAGGAUGAAGUUCAACAAAGCAUGUGGUAAGCAUUUUACAAGAUUAUUUUGGUUUUUAAAAGCUAUAUAUUCUCUAGCCAUGAGCAACCAAGGACAGAACUGAAGAACAGACAAUGAUCAGAACAUAGCUAACACUUACUGAGCACCCAGGAUGGAUUAGACACUGUACUAAGUCUUCUCCAUAUAUUAUCUUCAUUCUCCUGACAAUUCAGUGAGGUCUGUAUGAUUAACAAUCUCAUAGCACAAGAAGCAGCGCAUCCAGCUGCAAGUAGAGGAGCCAGGACUUGAACCUCUGUGGAUGGACCUGAGAGCUUAUUCUCACCACCAGGAGAAAGCUUGUGCUCACCACCAGGAGGGAAGCUUACAUGGGCCUUCUUAGGAAGUUGGAAGGAGGUAGUGAUGCUUAGGGAGGGUGAAUAGGAGCUUUGGUCCUGGGAGCAGCACAUGGGCUUUGGGCAUUGCAGGGUGGGGAAGAAGGUGAUGAGAAAAGGGUAAGAACAUCAAGUGAAAAGCUGGGUGUUUGAAGCAGCUGUCAACUGUAAGGUGAUGUUGAGAUAAAGUGACUAAAGCUGAAUUCUCAAAGUGAAUCUGUUGGAUCUACUCUUUCCUUAGAGAUGGUUGAGUCUGGUGGUCUUUAAUACUGUGUCCUGUGGUCCCUUAGGGUCCCCCAAGGGGUGAGUGGAUGGAAGUAAUGGGGUAAAGCCUUAGCUAAUGGGUCUUCAAAACCCUCUGUCUUACUUCAGCCAUAGGAACUCCACUUUUUUACCUUUUUUUUGAGGUACAACUUACAUGACAUAAGGUAUAGGAAUUUCAAUGAUAAAGCUUGAUGAGUUUUUAUAUAUGUAUACAUCUGUGUAGCUGCUACUCAGAUCAAGGUAAAGAACACUCUUUGCACUUCUGGGCAGGCUCUGUGCUGUCCUUCCCAGUCAGAACAACAUCCUCCCCACAGGUAACCACCAUUCUGAUUUUGCCCAUUUUGAGCCUUUAAAUAAAUGAAAUUA